rnacentral:rRNA from 1 species
UGACCUCAAAUCAGGUAGGACUACCCGCUGAACUUAAGCAUAUCAAUAAGCGGAGGAAAAGAAACUAACAAGGAUUCCCCUAGUAACUGCGAGUGAAGCGGGAAAAGCUCAAAUUUAAAAUCUGGCGGUCUCUGGCUGUCCGAGUGU